rfam:Canis lupus familiaris chromosome 15, whole genome shotgun sequence.
AAUCAAUGAUGAAAAUAGCCAAAUCUGAGCAUCAGAAGACCUUCCAGUCUACCCAAUACAUCUUGCUUAAAAAAAAAAAA